ACGUGAGCUUUACUACAGCAUUCCAAGCUAGCAAAUCGACAGGGCCUAUGCAGCCUCCAAAGGAUUCCUUCUCCAAGCAGGAGGCCCUUUCCUUGGCACGACCCCAAGGGGAGAGGCGCUGAGUGACCGGUCGGCCACGGGAGGCUGCGUGUAACACGAGAGGGGCACUCACCGCGACCUUUCCCGGUACGCGGCAGAAGGAGAAAGUCGCAGCGAGCGUCACACACCGUGUCACACACUGCAGCCUCCCGAGCGUCUUCGUGUCACCGCUUCACAGGGCUGCGCAGCCAAAAACAAGUCCGCACCCCCGAAUGGCAUUCACAGGAAGCAAGGGUUGAGGCUGGCGAGGUGCGAGCUGGAAGAAGAAUUUAACUGGCACAGCCCGACCCCUCCUAGGAGCAAGGUGACGGCGGAGAUGGAAACACUGGGAUUUCCAAGCAAGACAGGGGAGGAGAGAGCUGAAAAGGAGGGGAAAGGGAACCACGCCGGGAAGACUUGUCACAAGCAAGAACAGCAGCUGCGGGGGCCGUAGGCCAAAGCACUCCGCAGGGAGCGACCGCGACCCCAGCCGGCCCGGCCGUGCCUCAGCCCCAACCCAGCCUGCCCCCGCUCCCGAGCGGUCGCUACCUUCCCCGCAGCAGAACCCAGCGAGGCGCGGAGACCGCUACCCCUCAGCCCGGCCGACACCCGGCUGCAGAUCAUGGAGGCCGCCAUGGCCGAACCCCUUCGCCCUCGGGUGCCCCUGCCAGAGCGCACGCGCCGCUCCCGAGGACGCGGGGCGGGGCGGGGCAGGAAGCGCCUCGCGCGGCCCCGCCCCCGCCGUGAUGCCCGCCCGGCGCCGGGGUGGGCCGGCCGUGAACGACUCCGCCCGGUGUCUCCGGUAUUGAUCCGUUUUACGUUCAAUAAACGUUGUUUUUUUCUUGCAAAGAUCCUAAA